UAGCGAACUGCGAUAAGUAAUGCGAAUUGCAGAAUUCAGCGAGCCAUCGAAUCUUUGAACGCACAUUGCGCCCGCCAGCAUUCUGGCGGGCAUGCCUGUCCGAGCGUCAUUUCCUCCCUCACGCAGCAGCCCUGCGUGGUGUUGGGGCGUCCUGCCCCUCCCCCCUCUUGUAGGGGCGAGGGGGCAGCCCCCGAAAGCCAAUGGCGGGCCGGCAGCGGGCUCCGAGCGCAGUAAGCAGCAAUGCCCUCGCUCUGGAUUGCACGCGCCAGCGCCUUGCCUAGAAUCGCAGACGCGAUGAGAAUCGCGCCUACACCUUCUAAGGUUGACCUCGGAUCAGGUAGGACUACCCGCUGAACUUAAGCAUAUCAAUAAGCGGAGGAAAAGAAACCAACAGGGAUUGCCUCAGUAACGGCGAGUGAAGCGGCAACAGCUCAGAUUUGGAAUCUGGCCCCCAGGGCCCGAGUUGUAAUCUGGAGAGGAUGCUUCUGGCGCGGUGCCUUCCGAGUUCCCUGGAACGGGACGCCGGAGAGGGUGAGAGCCCCGUACGGUAGGACACCUAGCUGAUGUGAAGCUCCUUCGACGAGUCGAGUAGUUUGGGAAUGCUGCUCAAAAUGGGAGGUAAAUUUCUUCUAAAGCUAAAUACCGGCCAGAGACCGAUAGCGCACAAGUAGAGUGAUCGAAAGAUGAAAAGCACUUUGAAAAGAGGGUCAAACAGUACGUGAAAUUGUUGAAAGGGAAGCGCCCGUGGCCAGACUUGUACCCCGCGGACCAUCCGGCGCGCUCAGCGCCGGUGCACUCUGUGGGGCGCAGGCCAGCAUCGGUUCUUUUAGGGGGAUAAAGGCGGCGGGAACGUGGCUCCUACGGGAGUGUUAUAGCCCGUCGUGCCAUGCCCCUGGGGGGACCGAGGACCGCGCUUCGGCAAGGAUGCUGGCGUAAUGGCC
rnacentral:rRNA from 1 species